rnacentral:rRNA from 1 species
CCCCUACGUUUAGUUGCUAACGCGUGAAGGCGAGCACUCUAGACGAACUGCCGUUGACAAAACGGAGGAAGGUGGGAUGACGUCAAAUCAUCAUGCCCCUUAUGUUCUGGGCUACACACGUGCUACAAUGGCCGGUACAGACGGACGCAAAGCCGCGAGGUGGAGCAAAUCCUAAAAAGCCGGUCUCAGUUCGGAUUGCAGGCUGCAAUUCGCCUGCAUGAAGUCGGAAUCGCUAGUAAUCGCAGGUCAGCAUACUGCGGUGAAUACGUUCCCGGGCCUU